GUUACUUUGGAAUUCUCCAUCCUUACUCGUGCGAUAAUUCAAGGAAUUUCCAUACGCAACCAAUGAUUUUGAUGAUGCAAGGAAUCUAGUAGGAUUGCCUAGAAACGCAUUUAAACUUUAAUACUUGUUGUAUCGUAUUUUAUCUUCAAACAUAUUGUAUUUUGAUUCCAAACCUUGUAUUAAACCUUUAUUAAUGAAAAGAAAUUUUAGUUCUUUUA